ACUACGGGUGGCAGCAGUGAGGAAUAUUGGUCAAUGGGCGGAAGCCUGAACCAGCCAAGUAGCGUGCAGGAUGACGGCCCUACGGGUUGUAAACUGCUUUUAUACGGGAAUAACGCGCCUUACGUGUAGGGCUUUGCAUGUACCGUAUGAAUAAGGCCCGGCUAAUUCCGUGCCAGCAGCCUCGGUAAUACGGAAGGUCCGGGCGUUAUCCGGAUUUAUUGGGUUUAAAGGGAGCGUAGGCCGCAUGUCAAGCGUGCUGUGAAAUGUCCGGGCUCAACCCGGGCCUUGCAGGGCACACUGGCGUGCUUGAGUCCGCGGAAAGCAGGCGGAAUUCGUCGUGUAGCGGUGAAAUGCUUAGAUAUGACGAAGAACCCCGAUUGCGAAGGCAGCUUGCUGCAGCGGAACUGACGCUGAUGCUCGAAAGCGCGGGUAUCGAACAGGAUUAGAUACCCGUGUAGUC
rnacentral:rRNA from 1 species